rnacentral:lncRNA from 1 species
CUAUAUCGACCAGGAGAGCUCCCCAGGAACCAAAACCCUAGUUUCAACCUUUUCAUCAAAUUGAAGGCUCAAACUAAGUCCAAAUUCACAAUUGAACGUGAAUUAAAGAUCACCAAAGCUAGGGGAUCAUGAGUUUGACGCUUGGCAAGCUAAGUGGAAGCUUGGGAAUGAAGCGGGUCAAACAAAUCAAGUAUGAAGAAAAGCAUAAUCAAGAUGCAAGGUAAGUAAAGCUUACACUCUAUUUAUUUAAUACCUAUUGGUUUUAUAGGUUAUGAAUACUAGAAAUUCAUGUUUGACUUAUGAUGUUCCGACACGACAUGUGCGGUGCGGAACCAAGACAAUGUUAAUAAACCAUGUUUAAUGAUUAAAAAGGACUAUCACGAUUAUUUAGUCAUGAAAUGACUAAUAGAUAAUGAGUUUAGAAUGGUUACCUUAUAGGGUAAACCGACAUAAAUGAAAAGGGUAAAACGGUAAUUCGGUCACUCGUUGAUAACAACUGUUAGUUGUUGAAAGACACUUAUGGCAUAAGCCAUAAUGGGUCAAAAGAGUCAAUAAAUGUGUUAUAAGUAAAAUGACCGUACGGUGUAAACCGGAACGAGUCAUGAAGAUGAGAUGGCAAUAAAUAUCAUCU